GGUGGGAUUGAGGAAUUUGAUUAUGGCUCAGAUUGAGCCUUUGGCGGGAUGCUUUACACAUGCAAGUCGAACGGCAGCACGGACUUCCGGUCUGGUGGCAGAGUGGCGAACGGGUGAAGUAAUGUAUCGGAACGUGCUAGUAGCGGGGAUAACACGCAGCGUAGCUAAUACAUACGCCCUUCAGAGAAGCGGGGACCUUUGGGCCUCGCACUAUUAAACGGCCGAUAUCAGAUUAUUAGUUGGUGGGGUAACAACUCACAAGAAAGGCGACGAUCCGUAGCUGGUUUGAGAGGACGACCAGCCACACUGGGACUGGAGCACAGCCCAGACCACCACGGGAGGCAGCGGUGGGGAAUUUUGGACAAUGGAAACCCUAGUCAUCAUCCCGCGUGUGCGAUGAGCCUUCGGGUUGUAAAGCACUUUUGGCAGGAAAGAAACGGCACGGGAUAUUACCCCGUGCAACUGACGGCUUACCUGCAGAAUAAGCACCGGCUAACUACGUGCAGCAGCCGCGGUAAUACGUAGGGUGCAACGUUAAUCAACACUGGGCGUAAAGCGUGCGCAGGCGGUUCAGGAAAGAAAAUGCUUGAAUCCGACUUAACUGGAACUGCAUUUUUAUACCGAGCUAGAGUGUGUCAGAGGAGGUGGAAUUUACGCGUGUAGCAGUGAAAUGCGUAGAUAUGCGGAGAGACACCGAUGGCGAAGCCUCCUGGGAUAACACUGUGACGCUCAUGCAAGCGUAAGGAGCAAACAAGUUAGAUACCCUGGUAGUCCACGCCUAAACGAUCAUCGUAGCUGUUGGGGCCUUCGGGCCUUCGGUAGCGCAACUAACGCGUGAAGUUGACCGCCUGGGAGGUCACGGUCGCAGGUCAAGCUCAAAGAGGUGGUAAGGACCACACCAAGCGUUGGAUGAUGUGGAUUAAUUCGAUGCAACGCGAAAACCUUACCUACCCUUGACAUGUCUGGAAUCCCGAAGAGAUUUGGGAGUGCUCGCAAGAGAACCGGAACGCAGGUACUGCUGAAAAGUGUGUCGCUCGUGUCGUGAGAUGUUGGGUUAAGUCCCGCAACGAAGCGCAACCUUGUCAUUAGUUGCUGCGAAGGGCACUCUAAUGAGACUGCCGGUGACAAACCGGAGGAAGGUGGGGAUGACGUCAGUCCUCAUGGCCCUUAUGGGUAGGGCUUCACGUCUCACCGUGGUCGGGACAGAGAGGGUCGCCAGCCCGCGAGGGCCAAUCCCAGAAACCCGAUCGUAGUCCGGAUCCGCAGUCUGCCAACUCGACUGCGUGAAGUGGAGUCAUGGUAAUCGCGGAUCAGCAUGUCUCGCAGUGAAUACGUUCCAGGUCUUGUACACACCAUGCACGUCACACCAUGGGAGUGGGUUUUACCAGAAGUAGUUAGCCUAACCGCCAAGGAGGGCGAUUACACACGGUAGGAUUCAUGACUGAGGUGAAGUCGUAACAAGAGUAA
rnacentral:rRNA from 1 species